GACGUAGGGGACGAGCGUUGUCCGGAUUUAUUGGGCGUAAAGCGCGCGCAGGCGGUUACGUAAGUCGGGUGUGAAAAUCCGGGGCUCAACCCCGGACCUGCACCCGAGACUGCGUGACUAGAGGUAAGUAGGGGAGAUCGGAAUUCCUGGUGUAGAGGUGAAAUGCGCAGAUAUCAGGAGGAACACCGGUGGCGAAGGCGGAUCUCUGGGCCUUACCUGACGCUGAGGCGCGAAAGCUAGGGGAGCGAACAGG
rnacentral:rRNA from 1 species